rnacentral:tRNA from 1 species
GGCGACGUAGCUCAGCUGGUAGAGCAUUUGUCCUGCAUACAUAAUACCCUGAGUUUGAUCCCCAGCUCCCCA